rnacentral:rRNA from 1 species
GAUCAUGCUCAGGAUGAACGCUAGCUACAGGCUUAACACAUGCAAGUCGAGGGGAAACGACAUCGAAAGCUUGCUUUUGAUGGGCGUCGACCGGCGCACGGGUGAGUAACGCGUAUCCAACCUGCCCACCACUUGGGGAUAACCUUGCGAAAGUAAGACUAAUACCCAAUGAUAUCUCUAGAAGACAUCUAGAAAGAGAAUUAAAGAUUCAUCGGUGAUGGAUGGGGAUGCGU